UAUAAAGCUGUCACUGUGCAAAUAUAUAUAUACUGGAUUUUAAGUUACAGAUAAAUUUAAUGAACAAAUGUCAAGUAUAUGUUUGCAUGAACCAUGAAAAUGAGUUGUAUAAAAAUCAUAUAUAUAUAUAUAUAUAUUUGUUUAUUAUACAUGUUAUAGUGCAACUUGAUUAUAUACAUAUAUUACAGUUGUAAAAUUUACAAUACAAAUAUCAGCCAGCCUCCAUAGGCUUAUGAAUCACUUUGGGCCAAAUAUAUUAAAGAUCAGUUAUAUUCUCAAAAAGUUAUAAAGCUGUCACUGUGCAAAUAUAUAUAUACUGGAUUUUAAGUUACAGAUAAAUUUAAUGAACAAAUGUCAAGUAUAUGUUUGCAUGAACCAUGAAAAUGAGUUGUAUAAAAAAGGGAUGUGGUGUGAUUGUAAUGCACAUGAACAUUGUAUCUGAGAGACAAGCCUAACACAAAACCAAAGAACCACGAA
rnacentral:lncRNA from 1 species